rnacentral:rRNA from 1 species
CAAGACCUGCGCUUUUGGAGCGGCCGAUGCCUGAUUAGCUUGUUGGUAAGGUAAAAGCUUACCAAGGCUUCAAUCAGUAGCUGGUCUGAGAGGACGGCCAGCCACACUGGGACUGAGACACGGCCCAGACUCCUACGGGAGGCAGCAGUGGGGAAUUUUGGACAAUGGGGGCAACCCUGAUCCAGCCAUGCCGCGUGAGUGAAGAAGGCCUUCGGGUUGUAAAGCUCUUUCAGCCGGAACGAAACGGUUACGGUUAAUACCCGUGAUUACUGACGGUACCGGAAGAAGAAGCACCGGCUAACUACGUGCCAGCAGCCGCGGUAAUACGUAGGGUGCGAGCGUUAAUCGGAAUUACUGGGCGUAAAGCGUGCGCAGGUGGUUUUGUAAGUCAGAUGUGAAAGCCCCGGGCUCAACCUGGGAACU